rnacentral:misc_RNA from 1 species
AAAAUGGUAGCAUUUUUGAAGCUAUAGCUAGAAUCUACUGUGCUGCUGGGUAAAGGUUUAGACAGGUUAGAUUGGACAGUUUGAAAGGCUGUAUGCUAAACCAAACCAAUCCUUUUGGGUUAAAAACAUUCCCAUCCAAAAUCACCCAAUAAAUGCUACAAACUAAACCAAUGCUUUAAGUCUGAAAAUUUUUGGGUUUAAUGUUAAGUAACCAGCCAAGCCAGUCUAGCAAACCCCAAUUUUAAUAACUCCAUGUGCUUUAGGGCAAA